AUACGGAGGAUCCGAGCGUUAUCCGGAUUUAUUGGGUUUAAAGGGUGCGCAGGCGGCCAUUUAAGUCAGCGGUUAAAUCGUGGGGCUCAACCCCAUUCUGCCGUUGAUACUGGGUGGCUUGAUUGCGGUCGAGGUUGGCGGAAUUCGCUGUGUAGCGGGGAAAUGCAUAGAUAUGACGAAGAACACCGAUUGCGUAGGCAGCUGACCAGACCGCAAAUGACGCUCAUGCACGAAAGUGCGGGGAUCGAACAGGAUUAGAUACCCUGGUAGUCCGCACAGUAAACGAUGAAUACUUGUUUUCGGCGAUAUAAUGUCGGAGGCAAAGCGAAAGCGAUAAGUAUUCCACCUGGGGAGUACGCCGGCAACGGUGAAACUCAAAUGAAUUGACGGGG
rnacentral:rRNA from 1 species